AUUGAACGCUGGCGGCAGGCCUAACACAUGCAAGUCGAACGGUAGCACAGAGAGCUUGCUCUCGGGUGACGAGUGGCGGACGGGUGAGUAACGUCUGGGAAACUGCCCGAUGGAGGGGGAUAACUACUGGAAACGGUAGCUAAUACCGCAUAACGUCGCAAGACCAACGUGGGGGACCUUCGGGCCUCACACCAUCGGAUGUGCCCAGAUGGGAUUAGCUAGUAGGUGGGGUAAUGGCUCACCUAGGCGACGAUCCCUAGCUGGUCUGAGCGGAUGACCAGCCACACUUGAACUGAGACACGGUCCAGACUCCUACGGGAGGCAGCAGUGGGGAAUAUUGCACAAUGGGCGCAAGCCUGAUGCAGCCAUGCCGCGUGUAUGAAGAAGGCCUUCGGGUUGUAAAGUACUUUCAGCGGGGAGGAAGGCGGUGAAGUUAAUAGCUUCACCGAUUGACGUUACCCGCAGAAGAAGCACCGGCUAACUCCGUGCCAGCCGCCGCGGUAA
rnacentral:rRNA from 1 species